CCUCCGGAAAAAGGGGCCCUCCUUCGGGGCCCGGCACCAGGGGUGCAAUGCCGUUGUUCACUUGUGUUGUGGGAUGUUGGGGUAAAUUCCCCAACGAAGGCAACCCCCUUUCCUUGUUUCCAACGGGUAAAGGCGGGGAACUUUAGGAGACUGCCGGGGGCAAACCGGAGGAAGGGGGGGAAGAAGUCAAGUUCUCCUGGCCCUUAUGUCCAGGGGUUCCCCCCUGGUUCAAAGGGCGGUACAAAGGGGUGCCAAACCGGCAAGGGGAACCAAUUCCAAAAAACCCGUCUCAGUUCGGAUUGUCGUCUGCAACUCGACGGCAUGAAGCUGGAAUCGCUAGUA
rnacentral:rRNA from 1 species